AACGAACGCUGGCGGCAGGCCUAAAACAUGCAAGUUGAACGGUUGUAGCAAUACAACGAGUAGCGGACGGGUGAGUAAUGUAUGGGAACAUGUCCUUUAGUGGGGAAUAGCUUCUGGAAACGGGAGGUAAUACCGCAUAAGACCUGAGGGUGAAAGCAUUUAUGCGCUAAAGGGUUGGCCCAUAUCAGAUUAGCUAGUUGGUUAGGUAAAAGCUGACCAAGGCGACGAUCUGUAGCUGGUUUGAGAGGAUGAUCAGCCACAUUGGGACUGAGACACGGCCCAAACUCCUACGGGAGGCAGCAGUUAGGAAUAUUGGACAAUGGGGGCAACCCUGAUCCAGCCAUGCCGCGUGAGUGAAGAAGGCCUUCGGUUGUAAGACUCUUUUGGUAUGGGAAGAU
rnacentral:rRNA from 1 species